UGAUACAGACUGAUAAAUGAUUCCCUUUUAA
rnacentral:piRNA from 1 species